AAGUCCGGGCUUCACAGGGCAAGGAUGCCGGCUAACGGCCGGUGGAGGUAACUCCAAGGAUAGUGCAACAGAAAUAUACCGCCUGAUUUAUCAGGUAAGGGUGGAAAGGCGGUGUAAGAGACCACCGUAUCGUUGGUAACAACGGUAGCCAUGUAAACCCCAUCCGAAGCAAGUUCUAAAAUGCGCGUACGCGGCCCGCCAGCGCAAGGUUGAACGCUUGAGGCUGUUGGCAACAGCAGUCCUAGAUAGAUGACUACUUUAAAUGACAUAACCCGGCUCACAGUCGGGCCUU
rnacentral:RNase_P_RNA from 1 species